rnacentral:rRNA from 1 species
UACGUAGGGGGCAAGCGUUGUCCGGAAUUAUUGGGCGUAAAGAGCGUGUAGGCGGUCCGGUAAGUCGGCUGUGAAAGUCCAGGGCUCAACCCUGGGAUGCCGGUCGAUACUGCCGGACUAGAGUUCGGAAGAGGCGAGUGGAAUUCCCGGUGUAGCGGUGAAAUGCGCAGAUAUCGGGAGGAACACCUAUGGGCGAAGGCAGCUCGCUGGGACGUUACUGACGCUGGAGACGCGAAAGCGUGGGGAGCAAACAGG